rnacentral:rRNA from 1 species
AACGAACGCUGGCGGCAGGCCUAACACAUGCAAGUCGAGCGCGCCCUUCGGGGUGAGCGGCGGACGGGUGAGUAACGCGUGGGAACGUACCCUUUGCUACGGAAUAGCCUCGGGAAACUGAGAGUAAUACCGUAUACGCCCUUUGGGGGAAAGAUUUAUCGGCAAAGGAUCGGCCCGCGUUGGAUUAGGUAGUUGGAGGGGUAAUGGCCCACCAAGCCGACGAUCCAUAGCUGGUUUGAGAGGAUGAUCAGCCACACUGGGACUGAGACACGGCCCAGACUCCUACGGGAGGCAGCAGUGGGGAAUCUUAGACAAUGGGGGCAACCCUGAUCUAGCCAUGCCGCGUGAGUGAUGAAGGCCUUAGGGUUGUAAAGCUCUUUCAGCUGGGAAGAUAAUGACGGUACCAGCAGAAGAAGCCCCGGCUAACUCCGUG